CCAAAAUUGUAUUGGACAGUAUGUGUGCCUGAUUCUUUGAUUAUGUUUUUACCAGACUGACAGCAACCUCUAAAAAUCUCAAGGAGACACAUCAACAGAUGAAAACUUGCAUCAUUUGUGGUAAGAAGCAAAGUAUCAUCAGCAUGAGAAAAUGGAAGUUAAAGUACAUUUCAAGAAAGAUUAUUGCUUUUUGUACAUGCCAGCAUUAACUUUUCAUACAGUUCUUCCGUAUAUUGUUUUAAUUCCAGUUUAAAA